rnacentral:lncRNA from 1 species
GGGGAGAAUUGUUAGUUUUUCCAACAAUUAUGGUGAUGUAUGGGAGAGGUAAGCAAUGAUGCAACUCUCCUUAGUGAGAUAAGCAAUGAUGCAAUGAGUGGUAGGUGAGAUGAGAAUAUUGCAAAUUGAUCCUUCUUGGUAGGUGAGAUUUGCACUUUUGGUCCCUAUCUCAAAACUAUAAAUACCCCCUUCCAUUUCAUUGUAUAACACACCAAAAAAAAAUAUAUCAAAACUUAAGAAGAAAGAGUUUGAGAGGGAGAGAGAUGUAUUUCCUUUAGGAAUGUUUCCUAAUAGGGGAGUGACAAAAUAGUGAGUAGAAAUACUAGUCGGGUAUUUUUCGGGAAACACUUUUGUGUGCGCCACUAUUUUGGGUAGAACUCAGGAAUUGUUGUACCUCCAAAUUAUUGGGGAAGUCUCUCUUUGUAUGCCUGCUAAAUGUUUUAGUGGAAGUUGGUGUCGGAUUUGUGGACGUAGCCUAAACGUUUUAGGUGAACCACGUUAAAUAUUGUGUCAUUUAUUUUUGGUUUCGUUGAUCAUUUAUUUUAUUCCGCUGUGCAGUAAUGUUUAGUGCCACCGGGUCCUAACAAAGACGGCUGCAUCCUUCAAUCUCUUCGAUGUCUUCCUUAAGUUUCACAGCUGAAGGCUCCAGAGUUUGUGGCCUGCGCCCAAUCAACUUAAUCUGUUUCAAUGUUUCAAUAUCUGCAAAGCUAGGGGGAAUCUCCUCAAGCUUGUGACACAUUCUUAUAACAAGCGUUUCAAGCUUAGGAAAAGAUUCCUCUGGGUCAUCCAACCUUGAGAUACCUAACGACACCAGCUUCAACAACUUAAGUUUAUUGAACUCGAUAUCUUUGAGGCACCACUCUUCCGACUUAGUUCCCCAAUCCUUUAAUUUGAGAUACUCUAGAUUUGGUAGUCCUGCAAUCAAGGGAACUGCGCUUACUAUAUGAGGCCCUUCAAGUUUCAACUUCUUUAGAUUUGAAGGAAAGUGUAACUCAGUUAUACUAAAUUUCCUACCCUCAAAGAAAAGGUCAAGUAAUUGCAGCCGAGUA